CUCGUAGGCGGUUUGUUACGUCGGAUGUGAAAACCCGGGGCUCAACCCCGGGCCUGCAUUCGAUACGGGCAGACUUGAGUGUGGUAGGGGAGACUGGAAUUCCUGAUGUAGCGGUGAAAUGCGCAGAUAUCAGGAGGAACACCGAUGGCGAAGGCAGGUCUCUGGGCCACUACUGACGCUGAGGAGCGAAAGCGUGGGGAGCAAACA
rnacentral:rRNA from 1 species